GUUAGGAAUUUAUAUUGAAUUUGUCCCAUAUGAAAUAAUAAUGUAACGACCCAGCCCACUAGCGACAAUAACUCGUUGGGCCCAACAACCGGCCCAAAAUGCUUAAGCCCAGUUAUUAUUACUAGUGUCUAAGUCUCUUAUAAACCCAAUGACAACGAUCCAGCCCACUAGCGACAAUAACUCGUUGGGCCCAACAACCGGACCAAAAUGGUUAAGCCCAGUUAUUAUUACUAGUGUUUAAGUCUUAUUAUUACUAGUGUCUAAGUCUCUUAUAAACCCAAUGACAACGAUCCAGCCCACUAGCGACAAUAACUCGUUGGGCCCAACAACCGGACCAAAAUGCUUAAGCCUAGUUAUUAUUACUAGUGUUUAAGUCUCUUAUAAGAUCAAUGACAACCCCAUUCCCAUCCGAUAUGGGAUUAUUGGGGUGUCACAGACUCCUCCCGUUAAGGCCCUGACGUCCUCGUCAGUCCAAUCACACACACAGCCCAAGAUCACCAGGCGAUGUGAGACUCGUCUCGCUAGCCCGUCAU
rnacentral:lncRNA from 1 species